UGAGUAACCUGCCCUUCACUCUGGGAUAACUCCGGGAAACCGGAGCUAAUACCGGAUACUCCGGCUGGAUCGCAUGGUCCGGCCGGGAAAGGUCCGCCGGAGAGGGAUGGGCCCGCGGCCUAUCAGCUUGUUGGUGGGGUCAUGGCUCACCAAGGCGACGACGGGUAGCUGGUCUGAGAGGACGACCAGCCACACUGGAACUGAGACACGGCCCAGACUCCUACGGGAGGCA
rnacentral:rRNA from 1 species